rnacentral:rRNA from 1 species
GAAGGGGGCUAGCGUUGUUCGGAAUUACUGGGCGUAAAGGGCGCGUAGGCGGUGUGUCAAGUCAGGCGUGAAAGCCCCGGGCUCAACCUGGGAACCGCGCUUGAGACUGGCACGCUAGAGUUCGGGAGAGGAUGGUGGAAUUCCCAGUGUAGAGGUGAAAUUCGUAGAUAUUGGGAAGAACACCGAUGGCGAAGGCAGCCAUCUGGACCGACACUGACGCUGAGGCGCGAAAGCGUGGGGAGCAAACAGGAUUAGAUACCCUGGUAGUCCACGCCGUAAACGAUGAGUGCUAGACGUCGGGGCCCUCAGGGCUUCGGUGUCGCAGCUAACGCAUUAAGCACUCCGCCUGGGGAGUACGGCCGCAAGGUUA